rnacentral:rRNA from 1 species
UUCGGACUUAGCGGCGGACGGGUGAGUAACGCGUGGGAAUCUGCCUUUUGGUUCGGAACAACACGGGGAAACCUGUGCUAAUACCGUAUACCUCCUUCGGGAGAAAGAAGGCCUCUCUUUGAAGCUUUCGCUACUAGAUGAGCCUGCGUAAGAUUAGCUUGUUGGUGAGGUAAAAGCUCACCAAGGCGACAAUCCGUAGCUGGUCUGAGAGGAUGACCAGCCACACUGGGACUGAGACACGGCCCAGACUCC